rnacentral:rRNA from 1 species
GGAAGUAAAAGUCGUAACAAGGUUUCCGUAGGUGAACCUGCGGAAGGAUCAUUACUGAUUUAGCGAACCGAGCAUUAGCGAGGUUUUGCGAUCAAUUUAUAUUUAAAACCCACUCUUUAAUGUAUAAAAUUUGUAUUAAUGAUAAAUUAAAAGAUCACUUUCAACAACGGAUCUCUUGGCUCUCGCAUCGAUGAAGAACGUAGCGAAGUGCGAUAAGUAAUGUGAAUUGCAGUAUUCCGUGAAUCAUCGAAUCUUUGAACGCAUAUUGCACUUUCUGGUAUUCCGGAAAGUAUGCCUGUUUGAGGGUCAGUUAAAUAAAAAUCGGUGUUGUUGCUGCCUUUCGUGGUGACGCGUCGGAAUUGAGUUGUCUUACCUUCGGUUAAGUGACUUAAAAUUUUGUAUGAUUUUUGAACGUAUUUAAAUUUAUUUGUACGUUUGAGAUAUCGAAUAUUUAUUAGGUUCGGUCAUUCUAACGACUCGCGCCUAUAAUUUUCCAUUAAAUGACCUCAAAUCAGGUAAGAAUACCCGCUGAACUUAAGCAUAUCAAUAAGCGGAGGA